UGACCUCGGAUCAGGUAGGGAUACCCGCUGAACUUAAGCAUA
rnacentral:rRNA from 35 species